CGCCUUUCUCCUGAGGCGACGAGCGCCUCGCACCGCGCACCCGCCCAUUCACCUGACCGAGGCCACGAGCUCCAGCCUCCGCCACCUCUGAGCCCCUAAACGCCUGCGGGGGCGCGCGCGCUCAAACGGAGGGGGCGGGGCUCCGCCUGUGGUGCCCGGAAAAGGCGGGAAAGGUCCCCAUUGGCUGAGAGUCUGCAAGCCGCCGGCCCCACCCGCCGGCUUCCUCCCGGCUCUAACAGGCCCCCUCCCCGUCCCCCGGCUUCCCUUCAGGCACCUUUCGCCAAAAGGGAUGAUGGCCCCGCGGCGGUUCUCGGAGGCUAACGCCCUGUGGAGGAAGGAUCCAGAAGGAUUUCUCGCUUCUCCUAGGGCGAGCAUAACUUUUCCCCACCAGAAAAAGCCUGGAAUCUGAGCCGGUUUCUUAUGAGGCAGCCUCCAGGAAAGGAAUUCGCAAAACAGCACCAAAGGGCUUCAAGCAAAGGAAUGGUAACAGCUUCAAGAUUACCGUAUUUCUCCAAGUUUAAGAUGCUGCGAGUUAUAAGAUGCAUCAUUUUUAAAUAUACCACUGAGAAAAAACAGUUGCCAAAGAAAGAUGUGUCAUCGGUUAUAAGCCUUUUUUUAUUUUUUUUCCUUUUUGUAAGUAAUCUCUACACCCAACAUAGGGCUUGAAUUCAUGAC